GUUUUCUCUGUGGUACAGUUGUGAUAAAGCUGUGGUGGUCUUAUCUCUCUCUUAGGUAGUGGCUCUUUAUGACUACACAGCGAAUCGAUCAGAUGAACUAACCAUCCAUCGCGGAGACAUUAUCCGAGUGUUUUUCAAAGAUAAUGAAGACUGGUGGUAUGGCAGCAUAGGAAAGGGACAGGAAGGUUAUUUUCCAGCUAAUCAUGUGGCUAGUGAAACACUGUAUCAAGAACUGCCUCCUGAGAUAAAGGAGCGAUCCCCUCCUUUAAGCCCUGAGGAAAAAACUAAAAUAGAAAAAUCUCCAGCUCCUCAAAAGGUAAAAUAAAACAAAACAGCUCACAGAGACACCUCCUUCUUCCCCCUGCUUCUGCCUCCAUGAGUAACUACCUAUAUGACGUGCUGCUGCUGAGACCAAGGAAUGAGUGAGUAAAGGUGUUUAGAAGUCAAAUAUUGGUCCUAGUUAAGUAAGUGUCCUUUUCAAGUAAGUGGUAAACUUUGUAAUGUGGACCCCCUUUUAACUUAGGAGUCAUAUAAUUUGAACACAGGCUAAGCUGCCUCUGCAUCAUUAAAAAGGAUUUGGGUAUGCCAGUGAUAGGAAUACACAGUAGAAAAGAUGGCAGGGACCAUGUUUAACAUACCUAAGAGAAACUUUCUGAGGAUAUCACAGCAUCCAUUUCACAUGAACAGACUUAGCAGAAUUGGCAAGACCUGCACAUGGCAACAUAUUAUUCAUUUUUCAGGAUAACAAAAAAUAAUUAAAA
rnacentral:sRNA from 1 species